CCAUUUUGAGCAACCAUCAGAGAGAGAGGCAGCAUCGAGUUGGGCUCUGUCUGUUUCGACGAACUGUAUAAAACUGCUUAAUAUUUGUUGACGCUGAUUAACUGCUAUUCGUUUUAAAUCAAGUCUCCUGUCUCCUGCAUACCAAUACUAGCCAUUAGCUAGUUUGUUUUAUUUCAACUUUUUUUUUUUAGAAAUGUGUGUUGAGCUAAUGGAUACUAAAAUGAAGAGGGAAGUGAUCAGACUAGGAGCGGGUUGUAUGCAAAAAUCUACAACGAAGCCACCGAAGUGGAGACUACGGAAUCUUCAACAUUUUAACUCCGAGCAAGAGGCCUUCAAACCGUUGCGUUCCAACGCCGUCAAGACCACGAUCCGAAAGUACAUUCGUCAUCAACAAAGGAGGCAACUAGUAAAACUCUCAAAGGGAGAACGUGUUGUUGAAAACUGUGAGAUGAUGGCCAGAAAAACGACAGAAGAAAAACAGGAAACCCCUGAAAAAGUUGCUGAACAGCCACGUCCACAAGGAGCAAUGGCGCCGAUGAACACGACGCAGUACUUGAUGGACCUUGUGUAUGACGAUUUACCCCAGACGCCCAACAUGUCUACCGCGGUUGCAGUUUCAUGUGACAUGUCUGUAUUUAACCAUGAAUCUCUUUUAUCCAGGGGCGGGUAUGUGUCAUUGGACUACGAAAGCUCACUGGUUUUCCAACAGACAGACUUCGACGAAAUGUUUCGCCAUUUUGGAUCGCACUGAUCUGGAGUGAACUGGUUUUGCUGAAUGAGACAAUCCCCCAGUAUUCCCGUUUACGGUGACUCGAAACUACCAGUUCGCUAAAAGCGACGCACCGGACGCUGCCCGCCUGUAGGGGGCGCUUCCCCUCACAGCGUCGCGUCCCAUGGAGACCGAUCACGGCUUCUCGCCUCUGCGCUGGCCGCCAUUUAGGUACUCCAGGUAAAGCCGUUUUACCAUCAGGUGAAUGUGGCAGGUACCGGUCGCACUGUAUGCCUUAGCGUUUGAAUGUGCAUUUCACCAUGUUUUGAUUGAACGUUUCAGAACACGCAGUAGACCAAACAUGUCGGAAGUGCCCAGUCGACCUGAAAUGUGAAGUUCUGUUUUACAGAGCUAUGUUAUUGAGCAUUUUCCAGGUUAAUGUGGUCUCAGGCGUGCAGUCCAAACAAGGAAACGAGGAGUCAACUCUCCGGAGCACAGUGGAUUGGUUUUGUUUUACGUCAUGGGUAAUUCCGGUGAUCUUUCAUGUUUAUAUAUAGAAUUGUAAAUGAUUGCGUGAAUGUUUGUGUUGCGAAGCUUCCGUCCCUAAAUAAAAGCUCUUUACGGAAGUAAAA